rnacentral:rRNA from 1 species
GUAAUCCUACGGGGCGCAGCAGUGAGGAAUAUUGGUCAAUGGUCGGGAGACUGAACCAGCCAAGCCGCGUGAGGGAGGAAGGUACAGAGUAUCGUAAACCUCUUUUGUCAGGGAACAAAGACUGGGACGCGUCCCCGGAUGAGUGUACCUGAAGAAAAAGCAUCGGCUAACUCCGUGCCAGCAGCCGCGGUAAUACGGAGGAUGCGAGCGUUAUCCGGAUUUAUUGGGUUUAAAGGGUGCGCAGGCGGUCUGUUAAGUCAGCGGUCAAAGCCCGGGGCUCAACCCCGGCCCGCCGUGGAAACUGG